UCUUUAUCUUCUAUCCUCUCCUCUAUUUCGACUUAGGUUUUAUUCAACAUCUUCCUUUUAAGUCUUAAUACUUUCGUUUAUUGGCUUGAAGGUGUAACUCAUCUUCAUCCCUUCGCUGGUGAUGAGCCAAGCGCCGUCGUCUACGGCGGAAUCGAACGGACGAGAGAUUGAUUUUGAGGUUAUGGUCUCCGGUGAUUGGCGAUGGUGGCUGGGUCGCUUGAUUUAUGGCUCUUCUAUCUCCAGUUAGGGUUUUCGACAGUAAUAGGUUAUCAAUUUCGACAGGAAUAGGUUAGUUUGUCACUUCGAGGAGGAGAAGAAGAACAAAGCGACGAGGAGCAGAUUCUCUUUGUCUUCUCCCUACUCUCAUCUUCUUUUAGUGUUGUGUUGUGGUGUGGUGAACGAGUCUUAUGUUUAUUGACCAUGAUCACAUUGCCCAUAUCUCUAUGUGGACGUCCAUGAGAAGGUUCGAAAUUUUUUUAUAGCCGUUAGAGAAGAAGAGGAAAUAAAGUCUUGGGCGGUGCAUUUAAGGAAACAGUUAGAGGACGAGUUCAAUCUUGGGAAGAACUAAUUCUCCUUCCUUAUUCCCUAUGUGAUUUAUUGUGAAGGGUGUAGCCCUAGUUCUCUCGGUAUUUAUAUCCUUUGUAAACCUUUGUAAGAAUAACUUCAGGGAUUUUAGUUC